GUCAUUGCUGUGGAUCUUUACCUGAUACACUGACUUGGUGGAAGCCUCCGUUCUCCUCCCUCAUCUUCUCCCUUUUCUGGGCUUGAACCAAACUGUAGACCACAGCUCCCAGUGUGUUCCUAUUGAGGCUGAAGCCCCGCCCCCCGCCACGCUCUAUGAAGCUGGAUCGUUCCUCCCGACUGCUCACGAAGUACGUUCGAACCUGAAGGGAAAACACUUUGAUCAGAGAUCUCAUAGCUUAGAUCUUUUGGUCAUGUGUGUGGUCACAUGAUGAUGAUGGCUCACCUUUCCAUGGCGUUCACUAAUCCCUUUGAGAUAAACGUCCCCUCUGAGCUGCCUCAGAAAGCCUCGUUCAACCAGAAUAGAGCUGGUGAGCUCACCUGUAUCCGCCCGCUCACACCGGUGCUCUCCAUCCUGCUCGCCAUGUUCACCGUCGUCCCCCAGAUGUCGUACUGAGGUUUGGUGGCUCCAAUCACACCUGCUAUCACCGGACCGUGAGCCACACCUGGAAGUGAUGUCAGAGGUCAAAGAGUUUCCUGCAUGGCAAGAGCAAACAGGACCAACUCGCUCAGUCGCUGAUGAUGUGGUUAAGGAGGCGGAGACACUCAACAUGCUGAUGAAGGACCUCCUUUUCCUCGUAGAAGUCGGAGAAUCCAGGCAGAGAGGCAAACAGCACGCCCACUCGCUCAUACGACUGUGUAGACGGCAGCAAACAGCAGUAGAACGGCCAGCUGCAACACGCAGCUCAGUCUGAGGAACACGGCACAGCUCAUGUGAUGUUUGAGUGUUCACCUCUGGAUAUGUGCAAAUGUUGAUGUCGGUCCAAGCCGAGGGAGGCGGAGCCAGCAGGGAGUCCCUGCUGCUGAUGUCAGUUUCUGAUGAAUCACACCACAGCUAGUGGAAGCAAGCAAGAAGGUUUAUAACAAGUUAUUUUGUACUAAAUUGUAUUUCAGUGAGUUUUUGAAUGCUACUGGUUAUUUUACCAACAGCUUUUUGGCGGCUUGAAGAACAUUUUAAAAAUGUUCAACAUAGAAGCUUGGUUGUCAGUAUAUGGGAAACCGUAAUAGACAAUAAGAUGUGCACGUUAUUGCAGGUGAAUCAUUACUUUUUGGCAUAAAAUACCAAGAAGCUAAGCUAAAGAACUUGUGGUUUUUAUGCUGAUGAUGCCGUCUUGUAUAUAUGAGCAAUGAAAAAAAUGGAGGUAACUAUUUGAAAUGCUUUAAACAAAUGUUCCCAUUGCUAGUAAAAGAGAAUUUUAAUUUCACAUUAUGUUGCUUUUAGCACUGUUGCGGUGCAACUAAAGAAUAUGUAAAUACAUAUUUUUAGUUUUUGUCAAAACAACAAUCAUGUCAAGCCAGAAAACUUGAAAGUGAUGGUAAUUUCACAUUUCUUUUACAGAGAACAACAGAACAACAUUUUGAGAAACUUUAGAAAUUCAAGGUGAUUACAAUCAGGAUAGUCUUUUAUACCUAUGGAGAAUCAUCAUCAAAUAGUAAUCCUCACACUGUGUUGUGUCAACAUUGCUUCUUAAAAUGUAAAACAAUAUUUUUGGAAAAUUAAAUUUCCCAAAAAUUGCUUCAUUGUUUUCAUUUCCUUCCAACAUUCACAGCAGCAACUGUUACUGUAACAUAUAUUUUAAUAUGUUAACGUGUUUUGUUUUCCCAUCUUUUCUUCUGAUGGUGGGCAUUUCUGACCUAUAACAUUUCUUAGUUGUUGCUUUGAUA